AUGUCUAGGAUUAUUGUAUAUAGAGCCCUCUUGUUCCGUCUACUACUCCAGUAUGCAGUACAUGCGCGCGACUCUCGCUCUUCCUCACAUGGAGCACUUCACGCUCCCAUACUACUACCACUUCGCCCUAUUCCUCUUCCUUGCUAUCCUCCUCCAUGGCGUCCUACGCGCCACCGCCGAGCAGCCCCGCCCGAGGCUGCCUCCCGGCCCGUGGCAGCUUCCGGUCAUCGGCAGCCUGCACCACCUGCUGCGCGGGCUCCCACACCGCACCAUGCGCGACCUCUCCCUCGCCACGGCCCGCUCAUGCUGCUCCGGGUGUGCGAGCGCGUGGCCAUCGUCGUCUCCUCCGCCGAGGCCGCGAGGGCGAUCUACAAGGGCAACGAGGCCGCCUUCUCGGAGCGGCUAAGCAGCCCGAGCAUCGACGAGCUCUCCAGGCAGCAUGGCCAGGGGAUCGUCUUCGCGCCCUACGGCGACCACUGGCGCCUGCUCCGCCGGAUCCUCAUGACAGAGCUGCUCAGCGCGCGGCGCGUUGAGGCGUUCCGGCAGAUCCGCGCGGAGGAGGCGGCUCGCCUAGUCUCGUCGCUUCACGCGACGUCCGAUGGCCGGCUCGUGAACAUGGACGAGCCCGAGCGGCUCGACGAGUUCAUGACAGACUCGGCCGUGCGCGGCAUCUUCGGGGACAGGCUGCCCGAUAGAGCCGCGUUCCUGAAGAUCGUCAAGCAAGGAGUGGGCCUGUCAUCGCUCUUCGACCUCCGGGACCUCUUCCCAUCGUCGCGGCUAGUUCGGCUUCUGCCGCGCAGCAGUAGGGCGGAGCGGCAGCGUCAAGAAAUGUUCAGGCUCAUGGACAACAUCCUUAAGACCCACGAGGAGAGGAGGAUGGGUAGAGAUGGAGACGACGAACAGGACAUGGUCGAUGUGUUGUUGAGGAUCCAGAAAGAAGGCAACAUGCGAGUUUCCCUAACCGACGGAGUCAUAAGGGCACUGCUCAUAGUAAGCUCUAUCGAUCUUAAAACCAAAGUUUCAAAUAACGGGCUAUGA
rnacentral:rRNA from 1 species